rnacentral:lncRNA from 1 species
GUGACAAAAGACUGGUAACAGAGAACAAUACAAUAAUAACAUACAUGUUGUAGCUAACCAAUAAUAUCAGAUCUAACUUUCCAUGCACUCUUCAAAUAGUUACAGAGCUUAAUUGUUAAAGAUCUAGAAUUAGCUUUCAACAAACAAGAUAGUUUAAAAAUAGUAGGCCAUGAACAAUAAUAGCGUGGCAAAAACAAUAUUCUAAUUGCCCUAUAUGCUGGACAUACCAAUACAAAAUGGAAUUCAUUCUCAACACAUUGCAUGUUACAACAUACACAAAGACGCAUUUCUCUUGUAUAUCAGAGAAGCGAACCAACUUCAACAUUAAGUUUCAAUGUACCACUUCGUAGUUUUGUAAGAAUGUUAAUAUUAUUAAUGUAGCUAAAAUAAUUCUCAAGACAAAAAUCAAACUUUAUACUUCUAUACACACUUAAUUUCUCACAGUCACAAAUAUCUGCUGACCAUUUUUGUAGAUAUUGAUCUUUAAUGCGUGUCUUUAUAACAUCAAACGAUAUAUCAAUAUUAUUUUGAUCAAUCCAAAUAUGGUUCAUUCCAAGACUAAAUAAAAAAUCACGCACAUUAGAUGCCCAAUUAAUUUUACCAUGAUUUGC